rnacentral:SRP_RNA from 15 species
GCCGCCAAGGGGCUGGCGCGAGAGCUGGCGGCCAAGCUGGACGAGAAGGCGAGCACCGGGCAGCGCGGAAACGCGGCCAACAAGAUCGGCCGCGCUGCACUGUUGCGCGCUUGCGCGGUUGGCGCCG